rnacentral:rRNA from 1 species
AGAGUUUGAUCCUGGCUCAGGAUGAACGCUAGCGGCAGGCUUAACACAUGCAAGUCGAGGGGUAACGAUGGUUUCGGCCAGGCGACGACCGGCGCACGGGGGAGUAACGCGCGCGUAUGCAACCUACCAUUAACUGGGGGAUAGCCCGAAGAAAUUCGGAUUAAUACCCCAUAACACUGAGAUGUCACCUGGCAUUUUAGUUAAAGCUCCGGCGGUUUUUGAUGGGCAUGCGUGACAUUAGAUUGUUGGUAAGGUAACGGCUUACCAAGUCUACGAUGUCUAGGGGGUCUGAGAGGAUGGUCCCCCACACUGGUACUGAGACACGGACCAGACUCCUACGGGAGGCAGCAGUGAGGAAUAUUGGUCAAUGGGCGCAAGCCUGAACCAGCCAUGCCGCGUGCAGGAUGAAUGCCCUAUGGGUUGUAAACUGCUUUUAUAUGGGAAGAAACCUCCGGACGUGUUCGGAGCUGACGGUACCGUAAGAAUAAGCACCGGCUAACUCCGUGCCAGCAGCCGCGGUAAUACGGAGGGUGCAGGCGUUAUCCGGAUUUAUUGGGUUUAAAGGGUGCGCAGGCGGGCUAUUAAGUCAGCGGUGAAAUCCUACAGCUUAACUGUAGAACUGCCGUUGAUACUGAUAGUCUUGAGUUUGGUUGAGGUAGGCGGAAUGUGUCAUGUAGCGGUGAAAUGCUUAGAUAUGACACAGAACACCGAUUGCGAAGGCAGCUUACUAAACCAAUACUGACGCUGAGGCACGAAAGCGUGGGGAGCGAACAGGAUUAGAUACCCUGGUAGUCCACGCCGUAAACGAUGAUCACUCGUUGUUGGCGAUACACAGUCAGCGACUGAGCGAAAGCAUUAAGUGAUCCACCUGGGGAGUACGGUCGCAAGAUUGAAACUCAAAGGAAUUGACGGGGGCCCGCACAAGCGGAGGAACAUGUGGUUUAAUUCGAUGAUACGCGAGGAACCUUACCUGGGCUUAAAUGUAGAGUGCAUAAACGGGAAAAUGUUUUUUAAUUCGGGACUAUUUAAGGUGCUGCAUGGUUGUCGUCAGCUCGUGCCGUGAGGUGUCGGGUUAAGUCCCAUAACGAGCGCAACCCCUAUCGUUAGUUGCCAUCGGGUCAUGCCGGGGACUCUAAUGAGACUGCCAGUGUAAACUGUGAGGAAGGUGGGGAUGACGUCAAAUCAGCACGGCCCUUAUGUCCAGGGCUACACACGUGUUACAAUGGUCGAUACAAAGGGCAGCUACCUGGUGACAGGAUGCUAAUCUCUAAAGUCGAUCUCAGUUCGGAUCGAAGUCUGCAACUCGACUUCGUGAAGUUGGAUUCCCUAGUAAUCGCGCAUCAGCCACGGCGCGGUGAAUACGUUCCCGGGCCUUGUACACACCG